CCUGACGGUAGUCGUAUGCUCGUCUCCGAGACUAAGCCAUGCAAGUCCAAGUACACGUCCUUGAACGACGGAAACUGCGAACGGACUCAGUUAAAUCAGUUGCGAUCUACGUCGGCGUUCCGCGCCGCCGGAUAACCGUAGUAAUUCUAGGGCUAAUACGUGCGAAGCGCCCGAAGACCGCGAGGCGACGGGCGUUCUCGCCGGAUGUAGGAACCGACCCGGGGACCGCCGGGGCAACCCCGGCGCCCCCGAGACGGGGCGAACCACGGUGAAAUGACGGAUCGUCGGCCCCGCGCCGGCGACUCGCCGAAUGAGUUUCUGACCUAUCAACUCGAGACGGCGGGGUAGAGGCCCGCCGCGGUAACGACGGGUAACGGGGAAUCAGGGUUCGAUUCCGGAGAGGGAGCCCGAGAAACGGCUACCACUUCCAAGGAAGGCAGCAGGCG
rnacentral:rRNA from 1 species